rnacentral:rRNA from 1 species
GACAGAGGGGGCAAGCGUUGCUCGGAAUUACUGGGCGUAAAGGGCGCGUAGGCGGAAUGGCAAGUCGGUCGUGAAAUCCUUCGGCUCAACCGAAGAACGUCGAUCGAAACUGCCGUUCUUGAGGAUUGCAGAGGAGACUGGAAUUCCCGGUGUAGCGGUGAAAUGUGUAGAGAUCGGGAGGAACACCGGUGGCGAAGGCGGGUCUCUGGGCAGUGACUGACGCUGAGACGCGAAAGCGUGGGGAGCAAACAGG